AACGAACGCUGGCGGCAUGCCUAACACAUGCAAGUCGAACGAAGCCUUCGGGCUGAGUGGCGCACGGGUGCGUAACGCGUGGGAAUCUGCCCUUGGGUUCGGAAUAACAGUUAGAAAUGACUGCUAAUACCGGAUGAUGUCUUCGGACCAAAGAUUUAUCGCCCAAGGAUUGGCCAGCGUUGGAUUAGGUAGUUGGUGGGGUAAUGGCCCACCAAGCCGACGAUCCUUAGCUGGUCCGAUAGGAUGAUCAGCCAAACUGAGACUGAGACACGGCCCAGACUCCAGCGAGAGGCAGAAGUGUGGAAUAAUGGACAAUGGGCGAAAGCCUGAUCCAGCAAGGCCGCGUGAGUGAUGAAGGCCUUAGGAUUGUAAAGCUCUUUUACCAGGGAUGAUAAUGACAGUACCUUGAGAAUAAGCUCCGGCUAACUCCGUGCCAGCCGCCGCGGUAACAC
rnacentral:rRNA from 1 species